GGCUGAGUUUGUCACUGAAGCAACACAUUGUUUACUGAACUUGCAUUCCUAAGUAACAUGAUAGCUAAUGUCUAAAUAAUUUAACCACAGCAGAGCAGGUGCCAUAAGGCUCACUGCAUUUUUUUCAAGUCCAUUUCUAGAACUGAUGUGUCACCUCAAAAACAUGGUAGUGGCCAGGCUACUGCUCAGCCUAGGAGGAUUUUCCUAUUUCAGGGAAUUAUUACAGUGCUGUGGCAAAAUGCACUUGAUGAUUAUUCACUUUUACUGUGAAGUCCCUAAACCACUAUGGAAGCCUUUAGGAUCAAAUGCCUUUCCUCAUGCUCUUGUCGUCCUGUCCUGAAUAGCUGUUGGUGUUUGGGGCUCAUCAGGUACCCCUUGGACUGAAUGUUUGAUGAGUUUCAGACACGUCCACUCUUUCCAUCCCAUGACCAUUUGCAGGGUGAACUGAAGCACAGCAAGAGGAGGCAGCUGGCAGAGUCACUCCUGACCUGGGCUUAAAUGCAAAUAGCCUCAAAUUAGGAAAGCUAUUCCACGAGUUUGUCUUGUGCAUCUGACCCCAGCGACCAUCCAGUCAGAUGUGUGGAGCAGAGAAGUUAAAGUCUUUAAAAAUGCGUGUCAUGUCAGAGCUGAGCCCUCAGCACCGAGCAUUGUUCUCUGCAGCUCUGCUCUUCCUGAGCUGCACUGUCUGCCUGUGCAGACACAGCCACCGGCAGCAGAGCAGGAAAAGGAGUCUUCACUUGUCUCCAUAGAGGUUGGAAGAGUCACUCUGAAUAGUUUUGCAUAAAAGCACAGCCUGCUGCAGAGCAGGCUCAAGCUUCUGUGGCGUUCGCUCCCAGUAAUCUGCCGCUUGGAGCAGGAUGUGUGGGCUUUGCUGUGGAGUGCUCAGGGAUGCUCUUCUCCUCUCCUCUCACUGAAGACAAAGUAAUACUCCAUGGAGCUAUAAAAUGUGCAUAGUCUUUUACCCAUGAAUGGUAAGUUAUUUGGGAUCAGUGCUUUCAGUACUUCCCAGAAGCCAUAUAAUUUUCCUUGAUAAUCACUGUUUAACAGCUAUGCUUCCCUACACAAAUUUAAUUUCAAUUUUCCCCCCACAGUUGUAGUAAUUUUAAAUGUGUGGCUGUAAUUAGCUGAAAUACGAACUGUGAAUUGAGUUUGACACCAUUCUUUCAGCACCAUUUUAAUGAAGGGUUAAAUAUUCUUCAUCUUUUCUGAAGUCUAAGUUUAGUGAAGUAGCUACCCAUCAAUCAAAGGUUCACGUCUGCUUUCCAUUACCUUUCCAGUCAUAUUCUGUUAGGCUUCUUUCACCAUUUCAGUAUCCAGGAGCCUGGCAACUAGACACUAACUGAUGCAGCUCACAUCUGUCGUGUCUGGCUCAUUCCUUCUCCUAUUCCCAAGGUGAUAAUUGCAUCAUCUUUGUAGUAUUUUAUUUUGUUGCCCUUUUUUAUUGU